GCAACUCGCUCACCUCCCGCUGUGUGGCAUCGCUGCUUCGUCCAGCUACUUCCGCCGCCCCGACAAUUCAGUCCAGCGCCAGCCGCAACUCGCUGCGCCGCAGGGCACACCGCCAAAAGCCGUCCCGACUUCGACGGCUCUCGCUCGACUUGCAGGCGGCGCGCAGGGCUGGUGAGUCGCUGCGGUUUGCUGGGCGGACCUUGACUGUCCUCGAUGACUUGCUCGCCGCGACCGUCAGCGCCGACAGCCGUGGCCAGGAUGUCGAGCCACGUUAACCGAGUUUCGCCAUCGUAUUUCGCCCGACAUCGGUUUCUGCCGAAACGCUCGUCUGCCUCCCUCGACCCGCUCGAACGCUCAAGCUCUGCUGCACCUCCGAGAGAAGGAGAUCGAGGUAGCAGGUGCGUUCCUCCGUUCUCCCAGGAGCGCAUGCAGCGAGAGGAACGAGGAGGUGGUUUGCAUGGCACUCGCUUUGGCCAGACCGCGGACGAGGCGGGCGGCUCGCAGGGUGCAGGUCAAGAUGUGGGCGUCGAGGAGGAUUGCGCGUGUGCUCGAUAGACUCUGCAGAGUCUUGGAGGACUUGCAUAACCUUCAGUAGCUCAUACAGGUUUCCCUCGUUGCAACCCGAGAUUCUGCCACCUACCAU
rnacentral:misc_RNA from 1 species